AACCUCUUUGAAAAAAAAUCUUUCUUUCUUUCUUUUUUCUCUCAAGCCAUCCUUAGGUCCGACCAUGGGGCGGUGGGUCUCCGCCAUGGCCAUCAGUCAUGGCGACAGAGAUUGCCGCCUUCAAUGGCCGGAGUACCCAAAAAAAUUCUCCUUUGAGGCCCUUAACACGUAGAACCCGAAUUUGAGGUCAAAACCCCCUAAAAAAGCUGAGUUUUAAAAAGAAAAAAAACGAUAAAACCCUUCGAUUUAAAAAAAAAAGACGAUGAAACUUUUCGAUUUUAACUUUUUUCGACGAGGCCCUCGUCGAAUCCCACUAGAUUCGAAGACCUGUCAAAUCGACGAGGGCCACUACGAUGGUGAUGGUCGCAAAAUAGGUGGCAAUGGUGGUCAACGACGAUGGGGAGCUGCGCCUUUGCCAUUUCAGUGAAACGGUGGCAAGCCUUGGGUGACACGCCUGUUGACAUGGAAAGGCAGAUGAGCGACAGCGGCUGGAGGCUUAGAGGAAUUAGGGUUUUUUUUGUUUAAUUUUUGGGUUAUUAGGCUGGUGUAUUUGGGCUUUAGGUUUUUUAUUUAUUUGUUUGUUGUUUGGUUGAUUUGUUUCUAUUGGGCCAGAUAAAAUUGGCCUAUUACAUGAUGAAUGACUUGUUUAAUGUGUUUUUGAGAGUUAAUUCAGUGGCUCAA